UGAAGAGUUUGAUCAUGGCUCAGAUUGAACGCUGGCGGCAGGCCUAACACAUGCAAGUCGAACGGUAACAGGAAGCAGCUUGCUGCUUUGCUGACGAGUGGCGGACGGGUGAGUAAUGUCUGGGAAACUGCCUGAUGGAGGGGGAUAACUACUGGAAACGGUGGCUAAUACCGCAUAACGUCGCAAGACCAAAGAGGGGGACCUUCGGGCCUCUUGCCAUCAGAUGUGCCCAGAUGGGAUUAGCUUGUUGGUGAGGUAACGGCUCACCAAGGCGACGAUCCCUAGCUGGUCUGAGAGGAUGACCAGCCACACUGGAACUGAGACACGGUCCAGACUCCUACGGGAGGCAGCAGUGGGGAAUAUUGCACAAUGGGCGCAAGCCUGAUGCAGCCAUGCCGCGUGUAUGAAGAAGGCCUUCGGGUUGUAAAGUACUUUCAGCGGGGAGGAAGGUGUUGUGGUUAAUAACCGCAGCAAUUGACGUUACCCGCAGAAGAAGCACCGGCUAACUCCGUGCCAGCAGCCGCGGUAAUACGGAGGGUGCAAGCGUUAAUCGGAAUUACUGGGCGUAAAGCGCACGCAGGCGGUCUGUCAAGUCGGAUGUGAAAUCCCCGGGCUCAACCUGGGAACUGCAUUCGAAACUGGCAGGCUUGAGUCUUGUAGAGGGGGGUAGAAUUCCAGGUGUAGCGGUGAAAUGCGUAGAGAUCUGGAGGAAUACCGGUGGCGAAGGCGGCCCCCUGGACAAAGACUGACGCUCAGGUGCGAAAGCGUGGGGA
rnacentral:rRNA from 1 species